UCAGUGGGAAGCACACCACUGAAGUCACAUGCUGCAUGGUUGUUACUGACUGCUUCUAAGAUGGGCUGAGACAUGAGUCAAUAGCUGCCAUUACCUAAUGGGUAGCUUAAUUACGUGCUUGUCUGGGAGCUGGGGAGGGUCACCCAUUGAGUGGAAGAAACUUACGUAGGCUUGAUCGUUAACCCUGGUUGGUGCCCCCUCCCAAGGAUGCGGGACAGAAUUGUAGACAGCGCCACUGAGUUCAGUGGGAGGAGGUGAGGCCAGUGCCCCACCCAGCGAUCAUAACCCAUUUCAGACUACUCUUCAUGCAA
ensembl:ribozyme RNaseP_nuc Nuclear RNase P